rnacentral:rRNA from 1 species
CACGUAGGGGGCAAGCGUUGUCCGGAUUUAUUGGGCGUAAAGGGCGCGUAGGCGGACAUUUAAGUUAGAGGUGAAAGCCCAGGGCUCAACCCUGGAAUAGCCUUUAAUACUGGAUGUCUUGAGUUCGGGAGAGGUGAGUGGAACUCCGAGUGUAGAGGUGAAAUUCGUAGAUAUUCGGAAGAACACCAGUGGCGAAGGCGACUCACUGGCCCGAUACUGACGCUGAGGCGCGAAAGCGUGGGGAGCAAACAGG